ACUCCUACGGGAGGCAGCAGUGGGGAAUUUUGGACAAUGGGGGCAACCCUGAUCCAGCAAUGCCGCGUGAGUGAAGAAGGCCUUCGGGUUGUAAAGCUCUUUUGUCAGGGAAGAAACGGUGGUGGCGAAUAACUACUACUAAUGACGGUACCUGAAGAAUAAGCACCGGCUAACUACGUGCCAGCAGCCGCGGUAAUACGUAGGGUGCAAGCGUUAAUCGGAAUUACUGGGCGUAAAGCGUGCGCAGGCGGUUGUGUAAGUCAGAUGUGAAAUCCCCGGGCUCAACCUGGGAAUUGCAUUUGAGACUGCACGGCUAGAGUGUGUCAGAGGGGGGUAGAAUUCCACGUGUAGCAGUGAAAUGCGUAGAUAUGUGGAGGAAUACCGAUGGCGAAGGCAGCCCCCUGGGAUAACACUGACGCUCAUGCACGAAAGCGUGGGGAGCAAACAGGAUUAGAAACCCUGGUAGUCCCAUG
rnacentral:rRNA from 1 species